rnacentral:rRNA from 1 species
UACAGAGGGUGCAAGCGUUGUUCGGAAUUAUUGGGCGUAAAGCGCGUGUAGGCGGCUUUGUGUGUCGGGUGUGAAAGCCCUCGGCUUAACCGAGGAAGUGCGCCCGAAACUGCAGAGCUUGAGUGCCGGAGAGGAUAGCGGAACACCCGGUGUAGAGGUGAAAUUCGUAGAUAUCUGGAGGAACACCGGUGGCGAAGGCGGCAUCCUGGACCAACACUGACGCUGAGUGAGCGAAAGCCAGGGAGCAAAGCGGG